GACGAACGCUGGCGGCGUGCCUAAUACAUGCAAGUAGAACGCUGAAGGAGGAGCUUGCUCUUCUGGAUGAGUUGCGAACGGGUGAGUAACGCGUAGGUAACCUGCCUGGUAGCGGGGGAUAACUAUUGGAAACGAUAGCUAAUACCGCAUAAGAGUAGAUGUUGCAUGACAUUUACUUAAAAGGUGCAAUUGCAUCACUACCAGAUGGACCUGCGUUGUAUUAGCUAGUUGGUGGGGUAACGGCUUACCAAGGCGACGUUACAUAGCCGACCUGAGAGGGUGAUCGGCCACACUGGGACUGAGACACGGCCCAGACUCCUACGGGAGGCAGCAGUAGGGAAUCUUCGGCAAUGGACGGAAGUCUGACCGAGCAACGCCGCGUGAGUGAAGAAGGUUUUCGGAUCGUAAAGCUCUGUUGUAAGAGAAGAACGAGUGUGAGAGUGGAAAGUUCACACUGUGACGGUAUCUUACCAGAAAGGGACGGCUAACUACGUG
rnacentral:rRNA from 1 species